rnacentral:rRNA from 1 species
AUUGAACGCUGGCGGCAGGCUUAACACAUGCAAGUCGAGCGGGGGAAGGUAGCUUGCUACUGGACCUAGCGGCGGACGGGUGAGUAAUGCUUAGGAAUCUGCCUAUUAGUGGGGGACAACAUCUCGAAAGGGAUUCUAUUAACGCAUAGGUCCUACUGGAGCAAGCAGGGGAUCUUAGGACCUUGCGCUAAAAGACGAGCCUAAGUCGGCUUGGCUAGUUGGUGGGGUAAAGGCCUACCAAGGAGACGAUCUGUGGCGGGUCUGAGAGGAUGAACCGCCACACUGGGACUGAGACACGGCCCAGACUCCUACGGGAGGCAGCAGUGGGGAAUAUUGGACAAUGGGGGGAGCCCUGAUCCAGCCAUGCCGCGUGUGUGAAGAAGGCCUUAUGGUUGUAAAGCACUUUAAGCGAGGAGGAGGCUACUCUAGUUAAUACCUAGGGAUAGUGGACGUUACUCGCAGAAUAAGCACCGGCUAACUCUGUGCCAGCAGCCGCCGUAA